rnacentral:rRNA from 1 species
CACCCCUAUCGAAAGGGAAGCAGGUUAAUAUUCCUGCACCAGGACGAGGAUACAUGGAUGUUUUGUGGCAACACAACUGAACUUCGAGACGCCAGCAAGAACCCUCGGAAGAGUUCUCUUUUCUUUUUAACAGUUAUUCGUUACCGCAAGGUACUGUACACCUUCUAGAAAGUAUUCUAUACAGGGGUCGUACUGCUCGAGAUGGCCUCGGAAUGGGUUUACCCCGAGAACAGGCUAGAUGACUGGCAAAGCGCUCUCCUUCUGUUGAGCGUCGGGUGCGUUCUUGACGGUCCGUGAAAAUCGAAGGGAAAGAAUCAUUUUCUCGCCUGGUCGUACUCAUAACCGCAUCAGGUCUCUAAGGUGAGAAGCCUCUAGUCAACUGGAGAAUGCAGGUAAGGGAAGUCGGCAAAAUAGAUCUGUAAGUUUGCGAUAAAGAUUGGCUCUUAGGGUUGGGUGUGUGGGCUGCUCGGAAGAAGCAAUCGACCGGACCGCGAAGCUAUAGUGGACUGUUUUUAUUAGUCCUCUCGGGGAUGAACAGAACGGACCGCCGUGGAAUCGUGGACUGGACGAUUGGGGGCGACUUGUAGAUCCAAUCUGAGAUUUUUUUCGGUCCCUCGCGGACUGGGUUUCAGAUUCUCCUGCACACAACUAACAACCGACUAAGAACUGAUACGGUCAAGGGGAAUCCGACUGUUUAAUUAAAACAAAGCAUUGUGAUGGCCGGAAAUGGUGUUGACACAAUGUGAUUUCUGCCCAGUGCUCUGAAUGUCAAUGUGAAGAAAUUCGACCAAGCGCGGGUAAACGGCGGGAGUAACUAUGACUCUCUUAAGGUAGCCAAAUGCCUCGUCAUCUAAUUAGUGACGCGCAUGAAUGGAUUAACGAGAUUCCCACUGUCCCUAUCUGCUACCAGGCGAACCAACAGCUAAGGGAACGGGCUUAGCGAAAUCAGCGGGGAAAGAAGACCCUGUUGAGCUUGACUCUAGUCUGAGUUUGAGAAAUGUCUCCAUUGGUGUAGCAUAAGUGGGAGCUCUUCGGGGCGAUCUUGAAAUACCACUACUCUGGACGAUGUUUUUCUUAUUUAAUUGGGUAGAUAUGUACGCUCUCCUCUGCGGAGGGUUAGUACAACUUCUGGCGUUAAGUGUGAAACUGGACGGUGCUCUCUCCUUCGGGUGGGGGUGCCCUCUCCUCACAUGAACUAGUUUAAAGACAUUCUCAGGCGGGGAGUUUGGCUGGGGCGGCAUACCCGUUAAACGAUAACGCGGGUGUCCUAAGAUGAGCUCAAAGAGAACAGAAAUCUCUUGUAGAAGAAAAGGCUAAAAGCUCAUUUGAUUUUGAUUUUCAGUACGAAUACAAACUGUGAAAGCAUGGCCUAUCGAUCCUUUAGGUUUUGGAGGUUUCAAUCUAGAGGUGUCAGAAAAGUUACCACAGGGAUAACUGGCUUGUGGCGGCCAAGCGCUCAUAGCGACGUCGCUUUUUGAUUCUUCGAUGUCGGCUCUUCCUAUCAUUGCGAAGCAGAAUUCGCCAAGUGUUGGAUUGUUCACCCACUAAUAGGGAACGUGAGCUGGGUUUAGACCGUCGUGAGACAGGUUAGUUUUACCCUACUGAUGAGUACGGAGACAUGCUGUCGCGAUAGUAAUCCAACUCAGUACGAGAGGAACCGUUGGUUCAGAUAAUUGGUAAAUGCCGUUGGCUGAAAAGCCAGUGCGGCGAAGCUACCAUCUGUAGGAUUACGGCUGAACGCCUCUAAGCCAGAAUCCAUGCUAGACAGGCGACGGUGCAAUUCUUGUAGACUGGCCCCCCGUGUCUAGGCGCGUAAGGAUAGAGGUCGAGGUGCGCUCUAGCGUAAGUAGUCGAGGUGGGCCUCUCAAUGGCGUCGGCCCUAAAAAAGCCGGCACGCUGAGAGACCUCCUGCCGAGACCGCCUCCUCUCUCCAACAUCCAUAGAAACAGGACUCGCUUCGGCGUGUCUUGCGUGGACUUGCUCAGUCGGCGUUGGCGAGUACGCCUUCGUCGACCACGAAGUUCCGUAUAGUAAUUUCAGAUAUCGGGUGGGAUUAAAUCCUUUGUAGACGACUUAAGUAUAGAACAGGGUAUUGUAAGGGGUUGAGUAGCCUUGUUGUUACGAUCCUCUGAGAUUCAGCCUUUGUUUCUU